rnacentral:rRNA from 1 species
UGGGGAAUUUUGGACAAUGGGGGAAACCCUGAUCCAGCCAUGCCGCGUGCGGGAAGAAGGCCUUCGGGUUGUAAACCGCUUUUGGCAGGAACGAAACGGCGCGGGCCAAUACCUCGCGCUAAUGACGGUACCUGCAGAAUAAGCACCGGCUAACUACGUGCCAGCAGCCGCGGUAAUACGUAGGGUGCAAGCGUUAAUCGGAAUUACUGGGCGUAAAGCGUACGCAGGCGGCUGUGCAAGACAGGUGUGAAAUCCCCGGGCCCAACCUGGGAACUGCAUUUGUGACUGCACGGCUAGAGUCCGUAAGAGGGGGGUGGAAUUCCACGUGUAGCAGUGAAAUGCGUAGAGAUGUGGAGGAACACCGAUGGCGAAGGCAGCCCCCUGGGAUGAGACUGACGCUCAUGUACGAAAGCGUGGGGAGCAAACAGGAUUAGAUACCCUGGUAGUCCACGCCCUAAACGAUGUCGACUAGUUGUCGGGUCUUUAC